CAGACGACAUCAUUUGUAUGCGAGUUUCCAUGCAAAUAAUGUCAUUUGAAUCCUUUUAACAGGAGAUAAUGACACAAAAUUCCAGGAGAACAGGGAACAGGCCAUGAAAUAAGGACUUUCAAGUGACAAAUGCUUUAAGCUCCGAAAUUUCAAACAGCAGAAACAGCCCUCUUGAAGUAGAAGACGAGGAUCAGCACUGUAUCUUCAAAUGAUGAAGUAUUGGCUUCUGACCUCCAUUAUAUAUACACCACAACACUUGAGUGAUUUUUGAGGAGUGAGGGACCCAGUAG
rnacentral:lncRNA from 1 species